AUUGAACGCUGGCGGCAGGCUUAACACAUGCAAGUCGAGCGGAGCGAGGGUGCUUGCACCUUAGCUUAGCGGCGGACGGGUGAGUAAUGCUUAGGAAUCUGCCUAUUAGUGGGGGACAACAUUCCGAAAGGGAUGCUAAUACCGCAUACGCCCUACGGGGAAAGCAGGGGAUCUUCGGACCUUGCGCUAAUAGAUGAGCCUCAGUCGGAUUAGCUAGUUGGUGGGGUAGAGGCCUACCAAGGCGACGAUCUUUAGCGGGUCUGAGAGGAUGAUCCGCCACACUGGGACUGAGACACGGCCCAGACUCCUACGGGAGGCAGCAGUGGGGAAUAUUGGACAAUGGGCGGAAGCCUGAUCCAGCCAUGCCGCGUGUGUGAAGAAGGCCUUUUGGUUGUAAAGCACUUUAAGCGAGGAGGAGGCUACUAGUAUUAAUACUACUGGAUAGUGGACGUUACUCGCAGAAUAAGCACCGGCUAACUCUGUGCCAGCAGCCGCAAUAACAC
rnacentral:rRNA from 1 species